rnacentral:rRNA from 1 species
AGGCAGCAGUGGGGAAUUUUGGACAAUGGGGGCAACCCUGAUCCAGCCAUGCCGCGUGAGUGAAGAAGGCCUUCGGGUUGUAAAGCUCUUUCGGUGGGAACGAAACGGUGGAUGCUAAUACUAUCCACUACUGACGGUACCUACAGAAGAAGCACCGGCUAACUACGUGCCAGCAGCCGCGGUAAUACGUAGGGUGCGAGCGUUAAUCGGAAUUACUGGGCGUAAAGCGUGCGCAGGCGGUUUGCUAAGACAGGUGUGAAAGCCCCGGGCUUAACCUGGGAAUUGCGCUUGUGACUGGCAGACUGGAGUGUGGCAGAGGGAGGUGGAAUUCCACGUGUAGCAGUGAAAUGCGUAGAGAUGUGGGGGAACACCGAUGGCGAAGGCAGCCUCCUGGGCCAGCACUGACGCUCAUGCACGAAAGCGUGGGGAGCAAACAGGAUUAGAUACCCUGGUAG